GAAAAUAUCAGUUCAACGAAUUUACUUGUUAUCUGUCGGACUUUAUAUUCGUCAAAAAGUGAACCUCUGUCACACAGUAAAGAUGGCGGGUAGUUUUCUGAUUACAGUAAUUCUGUUUGCGGGAUUAACAGGCGUAUUUGCGGGGACACAUUGUAGUUCAUCGUCUGACACUUCGUAUGGAUGGUAUAGCCAGAUAUAUUGUGAAAAUGGUUGUUGUGGAAAUUAUGACAAUCGAUAUUGUUGUACCGAGUACACAGUGAAUGUUGGAAUGACCCUU